UGUGAGAGAGAGAGGGACGCUCGUCCCGCAGGUGUGAGAGAGAGACGCUCGUCCCGCAGGUGUGAGAGAGGGCGAUGCUCGUCCCGCAGGUGUGAGAGAGAGGGACGCUCGUCCCGCAGGUGUGAGAGAGAGAGAGACGCUCCUCCCGCAGGUGUGGGAGAGAGAGACGCUCGUCCCGCAGGUGUGAGAGAGAGAGGGACACUCGUCCCGCAGGUGUGAGAGAGAGGG
rnacentral:lncRNA from 1 species